GUCUGGUUUGACAAAAUACAUCAAACUUGCUCAAACCGACCCAUGUACACCUCUAACCUUUAGGACCUUCUCCCAAACGCAAGACUAGGCAAAGAUUGUAUCAAUAACAACUUUCAUUCACCCCAGAUGCCCAGCAACUUGAAACGAAACCGUAUAUAAUGCACAAUAGGAUUAGGUGGUAAACCACCAGCAUGAAUCUUUUUUUUUUUUUUUU
rnacentral:misc_RNA from 1 species